rnacentral:rRNA from 1 species
CAGCAGCCGCGGUAAAACAGAGGGUGCGAGCGUUAAUCGGAUUUACUGGGCGUAAAGCGUGCGUAGGCGGCUUCUUAAGUCGGAUGUGAAAUCCCUGAGCUUAACUUAGGAAUUGCAUUCGAUACUGGGAAGCUAGAGUAUGGGAGAGGAUGGUAGAAUUCCAGGUGUAGCGGUGAAAUGCGUAGAGAUCUGGAGGAAUACCGAUGGCGAAGGCAUCCAUCUGGCCUAAUACUGACGCUGAGGUACGAAAGCAUGGGGAGCAAACAGGAUUAGAUACCCGCGUAGUCCCUGUCUCUUAUAC